rnacentral:rRNA from 1 species
UGGGGAAUAUUGGACAAUGGGGGCAACCCUGAUCCAGCCAUGCCGCGUGAGUGAUGAAGGCCUUCGGGUUGUAAAGCUCUUUUGGCGGGGACGAUGAUGACGGUACCCGCAGAAUAAGCCCCGGCUAACUUCGUGCCAGCAGCCGCGGUAAGACGAAGGGGGCAAGCGUUGUUCGGAAUUACUGGGCGUAAAGCGAGUGUAGGUGGUUGUCAUAGUCAGGUGUGAAAGCCUUGAGCUCAACUCAAGAAAUGCACUUGAUACUGGGCAGCUAGAGGACCGGAGAGGAUAGUGGAAUUCCCAGUGUAGUGGUGAAAUACGUAGAGAUUGGGAAGAACACCAGUGGCGAAGGCGGCUAUCUGGACGGUUUCUGACACUAAGACUCGAAAGCGUGGGGAGCAAACA